UACGUAGGGGGCGAGCGUUGUCCGGAUUUAUUGGGCGUAAAGAGCGUGUAGGCGGCCAGGUAGGUCUGCUGUGAAAACUCGAGGCUCAACCUCGAGACGUCGGCGGAAACCAUCUGGCUAGAGUCCGGAAGAGGAGAGUGGAAUUCCUGGUGUAGCGGUGAAAUGCGCAGAUAUCAGGAAGAACACCCGUGGCGAAAGCGGCUCACUGGACCAUAACUGACGCUGAUGCACGAAAGCUAGGGGAGCAAACAGG
rnacentral:rRNA from 1 species